CAUACCUUAUAAUAAAAAAUACAUUAACGAAAGUUAAUAUAAUAUUUUAUAAAUAUAAUCUAAGGAUUAAAGUGGGGAAAACCUCACGUUUUAAGAUUGAUCAAUGCCUGAUUAGUUAGUUGGUUUUUGAGUUAAAAGCUCACCAAGACAUUUAUCAGUAGCUAUUCUUUACGGAUGUAUAGCCACACUGGGAUUGAGAUAAGGCCCAGACUCCUACGGGAGGCAGCAGUGGGGAAUAUUGGACAAUGAGCGAAAGCUUGAUCCAGCGAUGUCACGUGUGUGAUGAAGGGAAACUGUAAAACACUUUUUUUUAAGAAUAAGAAAUUUUAACUAAUAAUUGAAAUUUUUGAAUUUAUUAAAAGAAUAAGUACCGGCUAAUCACGUGCCAGCAGCCGCGGUAAUACGUGGGGUGCAAGCGUUAAUCAGAAUUACUUGGCGUAAAGUGUACUAGGGUGGUUUAAAAAGUUUUAUAUUAAUUUUUAGUUUAUUUUAAUAAUAUAUAAAUUACUAUUAAACUUGAGUAUAGUAUAAGAAAAUAGAAUUUUGUGUGUAACAGUGAAAUGUGUUGAUAUACAAAGGAAUACCGAAGGCGAAGGCAAUUUUCUGAACUAUUACUGACACUUAUGUACGAAAGCGUGGGUAGCGAACAGGAUUAGAUA
rnacentral:rRNA from 1 species